AUGAUCUCCUGCAGUUAGAUGAAUGAGGACAGCAGACUUGAGCACCUUAAAAAAUGGAACAGCAAGGGGCUGCCAAAAUGUUGAUUUUCAAAGAAGGAAGCUGUAAUUCUGUCACAGUAUUUCAUCAAACUUGAAACACUACAUGCAGAGGAAGAUACCGCCGAGUCUACUGCUUAACCAGUGCAAUGGCUGCUGUGGGUUUCUUACGUGGUUCUACAGUUUAGAGCCAGAAUGCUGCCCUAAAUGAAACAAUCCAAAUAGAAGGCCCCAGGCUUCUGGAGUAUGCAGAAGGUGUCGCAAAGGCCAACAUUGAAUUAAUGAAUGUAGAUCAACAUGAAAUAGGCAAGGAAAAUAAAAGCAUCCAACUAAAGAAUCUAAAGACUACUGGACAAAUGAGACAUCUGGAGAAGAAGGGAGAAUCAUCCAGAGAAAAUGUCCUGAGGAAAAGAGUAACUUGGUUUAAGAGUAUAGUACAUUUUCAACAGGAUAAAAUUUAAUAAAUCUUCCCAAAUGUU